GACGAACGCUGGCGGCGUGCCUAACACAUGCAAGUCGAACGGAACUGUUUUGAAAGAUUUCUUCGGAAUGAAUUUGAUUUAGUUUAGUGGCGGACGGGUGAGUAACGCGUGAGUAACCUGCCUUCAAGAGGGGAAUAACAUUCUGAAAAGAAUGCUAAUACCGCAUGACAUAUCGGAACCACAUGGUUUUGAUAUCAAAGAUUUUAUCGCUUGAAGAUGGACUCGCGUCCGAUUAGUUAGUUGGUGAGAUAACGGCUCACCAAGACCGCGAUCGGUAGCCGGACUGAGAGGUUGAACGGCCACAUUGGGACUGAGACACGGGCCAGACUCCUACGGGAGGCAGCAGUGGGGGAUAUUGCGCAAUGGGGGCAAACCUGACGCAGCAACGGCGCGUGAAGGAUGAAGGUUUUCGGAUUGUAAACUUCUUUUAUUAAGGACGAAAAAUGACGGUACUUAAUGAAUAAGCUCCGGCUAACUACGUG
rnacentral:rRNA from 1 species